rnacentral:rRNA from 1 species
AGAGUUUGAUUCAUGGCUCAGAACGUACGCUGGCGGCACGCCUUAUACAUGCAAGUCGAACGCAGUAGCAAUACUGAGUGGCAGACGGGUGAGUAACAUGUAGGUAUCUACCCUUUGGCCUGGAAUAACACGAGGAAACUUGUGCUAAUACUGGAUAAGUCUUUACGGAGAAAGCUUUAUGCACCAUUGGAUGAGCCUGCACUUGAUUAGUUUGUUGGUAGGGUAAUGGCCUACCAAGACUGUGAUCAAUAGCUGAUUUGAGAGGAUGAUCAGCCACAUUGGGACUGAGACACGGCCCAAACUCCUACGGGAGGCAGCAGUGGGGAAUCUUGCACAAUGGAGGAAACUCUGAUGCAGCGAUGCCGCGUGAGUGAAGAAGGCCUUUGGGUUGUAAAGCUCUUUCGUCGGGGAAGAAAAUGACUGUACCCGAAUAAGAAGGUCCGGCUAACUUCGUGCCAGCAGCCGCGGUAAUACGAAGGGACCUAGCGUAGUUCGGAAUUACUGGGCUUAAAGAGUUCGUAGGUGGUUGAAAAAGUUGGUGGUGAAAUCCCAGAGCUUAACUCUGGAACUGCCAUCAAAACUUUUCAGCUAGAGUUUGAUAGAGGAAAGCAGAAUUUCUAGUGUAGAGGUGAAAUUCGUAGAUAUUAGAAAGAAUACCAAUUGCGAAGGCAGCUUUCUGGAUCAUUACUGACACUGAGGAACGAAAGCAUGGGUAGCGAAGAGGAUUAGAUACCCUCGUAGUCCAUGCCGUAAACGAUGUGUGUUAGACGUUGGAAAUUUAUUUUCAGUGUCGCAGCGAAAGCGAUAAACACACCGCCUGGGGAGUACGACCGCAAGGUUAAAACUCAAAUGAAUUGACGGGGACCCGCACAAGUAGUGGAGCAUGUGGUUUAAUUCGAAGAUACGCGCAGAACCUUACCAACACUUGACAUGUUCGUCGCGACUUUAAGAGAUUAAAGUUUUCGGUUCGGCCGGACGAAACACAGGUGCUGCAUGGCUGUCGUCAGCUCGUGUCGUGAGAUGUUGGGUUAAGUCCCGCAACGAGCGCAACCCUCACUUUUAGUUGCCAUCAUUAAGUUGGGCACUCUGAAAGAACUGCCAGUGAUAAGCUGGAGGAAGGUGGGGAUGACGUCAAGUCCUCAUGGCCCUUACGUGUUGGGCUACACACGUGCUACAAUGGUAUCUACAACAGGAAGCAAGACGGCGACGUUAAGCAAAUCCUUAAAAGAUACCUCAGUUCGGAUUGUACUCUGCAACUCGAGUACAUGAAGCUGGAAUUACUAGUAAUCGUGGAUCAGCGUGCCACGGUGAAUGCGUUCCCGGGUCUUGUACACACCGCCCGUCACACCAUGGGAGUUGGUUCUACCUUAAGGCAAGGUUUAAAACCCUUGACCACGGUAUAGUCAGCGACUGGGGUGAAGUCGUAACAAGGUAACCGUA